UACAGAGGUCUCAGCGUUGUUCGGAUUCAUUGGGCGUAAAGGGUGCGUAGGCGGCGCGGUAAGUCGGGUGUGAAAUCUCCGGGCUUAAACCCGGAAAGGUCAACCGAUACUGCGGGCUAGAGUGCAGAAGGGGCAACUGGAAGUUCUCGGUGUAGCGGUGAAAUUCGUAGAUAUCAAGCGGAACACCGGUGGCGAAGGCGGCCUUCUGGACAGUGACUGACGCUGAGACGCGAAAGCGUGGGGAGCAAACAGG
rnacentral:rRNA from 1 species